UACGUAGGCAGCGAGCGUUGUUCGGAGUUACUGGGCGUAAAGGGUGUGUAGGCGGUUGUUUAAGGUUGGUGUGAAAUCUCCCGGCUCAACUGGGAGGGUGCGCCGAAUACUGAGCGACUAGAGUGCGGGAGAGGAAAGCGGAAUUCCCGGUGUAGUGGUGAAAUGCGUAGAUAUCGGGAGGAACACCAGAGGCGAAAGCGGCUUUCUGGGCUGUAACUGACGCUGAGGCGCGAAGGCUAGGGGAGCAAACAGG
rnacentral:rRNA from 1 species